rnacentral:rRNA from 1 species
GAUGAACGCUGGCGGCGUGCCUAAUACAUGCAAGUCGAGCGAACAGAUAAGGAGCUUGCUCCUUUGACGUUAGCGGCGGACGGGUGAGUAACACGUGGAUAACCUACCUAUAAGACUGGGAUAACUUCGGGAAACCGGAGCUAAUACCGGAUAACAUAUUGAACCGCAUGGUUCAAUAGUGAAAGGCGGCUUUGCUGUCACUUAUAGAUGGAUCCGCGCCGUAUUAGCUAGUUGGUAAGGUAACGGCUUACCAAGGCAACGAUACGUAGCCGACCUGAGAGGGUGAUCCGCCACACUGGCACUGAGACACGGUCCAGACUCCUACGGGAGGCCGCAGUAGGGACUCUUCCGCAAUGCGCGAAUGCCUGACGGAGCACCGCCGCGUGAGUGAUGAAGGUCUUCGGCUCGUAAAACUCUGUUAUCCGGGAAGAACAAAUGUGUAAGUACCUGUGCACAUCUUGACGGUACCUGAUCAGAAAGCCACGGCUAACUACGUG